AGCAGUGGGGAAUAUUGGACAAUGGGCGAAAGCCUGAUCCAGCCAUGCCGCGUGUGUGAAGAAGGUCUUCGGAUUGUAAAGCACUUUAAGUUGGGAGGAAGGGCAGUAAAUUAAUACUUUGCUGUUUUGACGUUACCGACAGAAUAAGCACCGGCUAACUCUGUGCCAGCAGCCGCGGUAAUACAGAGGGUGCAAGCGUUAAUCGGAAUUACUGGGCGUAAAGCGCGCGUAGGUGGUUCGUUAAGUUGGAUGUGAAAUCCCCGGGCUCAACCUGGGAACUGCAUUCAAAACUGACGAGCUAGAGUAUGGUAGAGGGUGGUGGAAUUUCCUGUGUAUCGGUGAAAUGCGUAGAUAUAGGAAGGAACACCAGUGGCGAAGCGACCACCUGGACUGAUACUGACACUGAGG
rnacentral:rRNA from 1 species